UACAGAGGGGGCAAGCGUUGUUCGGAAUUACUGGGCGUAAAGGGCGCGUAGGCGGCCUGCUAAGUCGAACGUGAAAUCCCCGGGCUUAACCCGGGAACUGCGUCCGAUACUGUCUAGCUCGAGUCCGGAAGAGGAGUGUGGAAUUCCUGGUGUAGCGGUGAAAUGCGCAGAUAUCAGGAGGAACACCAAUGGCGAAGGCAGCACUCUGGGACGUGACUGACGCUGAGACGCGAAAGCGUGGGGAGCAAACAGG
rnacentral:rRNA from 1 species